rnacentral:rRNA from 1 species
AACGAACGCUGGCGGCAGGCCUCAUACAUGCAAGUCUAGCGGGUGUAGCAAUACAUAAGUGGCGCACGGGUGAGUAACGCGUGGGAAUAUGCCCUUGACUACGGAACAACCUCGGGAAACUGAGGCUAAUACCGGAUAAUGGCUCCGGACCAAAGAUUUAUCAGUCAAGGAUUAGCCCGCGUCUGAUUAGGUAGUUGGUGAGGUAACGACUCACCAAGCCUACGAUCAGUAGCUGGUCUGAGAGGAUGAUCAGCCACACGGGGACUGAGACACGGCCCCGACUCCUACGGGAGGCAGCAGUAAGGAAUAUUGGACAAUGGGGGAAACCCUGAUCCAGCCAUGCCGCGUGAGUGAAGAAGGCCUUCGGGUUGUAAAGCUCUUUUACCCCUGACGAUAAUGACGGUAAGGGGAGAAAAAGCCACGGCUAACUUCGUGCCAGCAGCCGCGGUAA